UGAUUGACUGCACUGCUAUCCACAUAAUAGUGAAACGGUCUGCAAGCAGUUGCAAUCAAGACUCAAAGUGAAAUUUUCUCCGAGUAUGUAACCAAAGCAAUUAACUCAGAUGUAUUUAAAUAUGGUGGAGAAUUUUUUUUACAGUAUUAGUAAAUGAAGUUAUUCAUAUAUUCAUCAAAUAAUGAAUGCCAAAUACAUCGUUCUUCUAAUCAUCUUGAUAGCAAUGUCUUCAGUAUGUGAAGAACUCCAGCAGUUUGUACGUUGGGCAGAAACAAAUCUAACAGAAGACGUUAGUCAAUCAGUGAACCGCAUCAUUCGCUGCUCAGGAUGCAAACAAUCUACUACACGAGAAAAUAAACGCACACGACCCAAACUCUCACGCAAAGGUCCACUGCCUUUCUAAAAUCAGACACUCUGCUGCACGGAGCACUUAUUUUCUGCAAAGAUCAUAUCCUGUGCCAUCUACGAAUAGAACUACAAGGACAAACAUCCUUUUAAGAUCUGUUUGAAGAAUACAAUCUAUUUUUCUGUUGGGAUGCAUAAGAGAUCAGUUUCAGCUGCUCGCUACUGCUGCCACAGAAGGAUCCCAUUUUUUCCAGAUGUGAAUGCGCCACUUGAGUGAAUAUAAUCAAAAGGUCAAAACAAAAUGCAACAUGAUUUGAGACAGACUGUUCACGACAUACAACCACCAUUUUCUCCACAUUCAGUACUCCAAAGAAGACCAUUUCUAUCUGUAAGCAAAACAAAACUAUUCUCAGCUGUUUCUAUUAAACAAACCCAGUAAAGUUCAAAUAAUUGAUGUGUCUAAUAAUUAGCUUUAAAAAUGGUAACCAUCUGACAUUUAAAAAUGCAAAUAUUGUUUCUCCA